rnacentral:rRNA from 1 species
UUCCGUAGGGUGAACCUGCGGAGGGAUCAUUACACAAAUAUGAAGGCGGGCUGGAACCUCUCGGGGUUACAGCCUUGCUGAAUUAUUCACCCUUGUCUUUUGCGUACUUCUUGUUUCCUUGGUGGGUUCGCCCACCACUAGGACAAACAUAAACCUUUUGUAAUUGCAAUCAGCGUCAGUAACAAAUUAAUAAUUACAACUUUCAACAACGGAUCUCUUGGUUCUGGCAUCGAUGAAGAACGCAGCGAAAUGCGAUAAGUAGUGUGAAUUGCAGAAUUCAGUGAAUCAUCGAAUCUUUGAACGCACAUUGCGCCCUUUGGUAUUCCAAAGGGCAUGCCUGUUCGAGCGUCAUUUGUACCCUCAAGCUUUGCUUGGUGUUGGGCGUCUUGUCUCUAGCUUUGCUGGAGACUCGCCUUAAAGUAAUUGGCAGCCGGCCUACUGGUUUCGGAGCGCAGCACAAGUCGCACUCUCUAUCAGCAAAGGUCUAGCAUCCAUUAAGCCUUUUUUUUCAACUUUGACCUCGGAUCAGGUAGGAUGCCAGUCCUA